ACGCUGGCGGCGUGCUUAACACAUGCAAGUCGAACGGUAAGGCCCUUCGGGGUACACGAGUGGCGAACGGGUGAGUAACACGUGGGUGAUCUGCCCUGCACUUCGGGAUAAGCUUGGGAAACUGGGCCUAAUACCGGAUAGGACCACGGUCUGCAUGGAUUGUGGUGGAAAGCUUUUGCGGUGUGGGAUGGGCCCGCGGCCUAUCAGCUUGUUGGUGGGGUGAUGGCCUACCAAGGCGACGACGGGUAGCCGGCCUGAGAGGGUGUCCGGCCACACUGGGACUGAGAUACGGCCCAGACUCCUACGGGAGGCAGCAGUGGGGAAUAUUGCACAAUGGGCGCAAGCCUGAUGCAGCGACGCCGCGUGGGGGAUGACGGCCUUCGGGUUGUAAACCUCUUUCAGCAUCGACGAAGCGCAAGUGACGGUAGAUGCAGAAGAAGCACCGGCCAACUACGUG
rnacentral:rRNA from 1 species